rnacentral:rRNA from 1 species
AUUGAACGCUGGCGGUAUGCCUUACACAUGCAAGUCGAACGGCAGCACGGGGCAACCUGGUGGCGAUUGGCGAACGGGCGAGCAAUGCAUCGGAACGCACCUUUCAGUGGGGGAUAACGUAGGGAAAGUUACGCUAAUACCGCAUAUUCUGUGAGCAGGAAAGCAGGGGAUCGCAAGACCUAGAGAUGAUUGAGAGGCCGAUGCUAGAUUAGCUAGCUGGUGAGGUAAAGGCUCACCAAGGCGACGAUCUGUAGCGGGUCGGAGAGGAUGAUCAGCCACACCGGAGCUGAGACACGGUCCAGACUCCUACGGGAGGCAGCAGUGGGGAAUUUUGGACAAUGGGGGCAACCCUGAUCCAGCCAUGCCGCGUGAGUGAAGAAGGCCUUCGGGUUGUAAAUCUCUUUCGGCCGGGAAGAAAUCGCACGGGCUAAUACCCUGUGUGGAUGACGGUACCGGAAUAAGAAGCACCGGCUAACUACGUGCCAGCAGCCGCAGUAAGAC